GAUGAGCGCUGGCGGCGUGCUUAACACAUGCAAGUCGAACGAAGCACCUUGAUUUGAUUCUUCGGAUGAAGAUCUUGGUGACUGAGUGUCGGACGGGUAAGUAACGCGUGGGUAACCUGCCUCAUACAGGGGGAUAACAGUUAGAAAUGACUGCUAAUACCGCAUAAGACCACAGCACCGCAUGGUGCAGGGGUAAAAACUCCGGUGGUAUGAGAUGGACCCGCGUCUGAUUAGGUAGCUGGUGGGGUAACGGCCUACCAAGCCGACGAUCAGUAGCAGACGGGAGAGGGUGACCAGCCACAUUGGGCCUAGGACACGGCCGAAACUCCUACGGGAGGCAGCAGUGGGGAAUGUUGCACAAUGGGGGAAACCCUGAUGAAGCGACGCCGCGUGGGCGAUGAAGUAUUUCGGUAUGUAAAGCUCUAUCAGCAGGGAAGAAGAUGACGAUACCUGACUAAGAAGCACCGGCUAAAAACGUGCCAGCAGCAGCCGCCG
rnacentral:rRNA from 1 species